UGGCCGCACGCCGGUACCGCCUUUUCCGGCGGUCCGGGGCUCGGGCGGCACCCGCGCCCGCGCACGCCGCGUUCCGGUAUCCGGGCCAACCGCCCCGCCCCUCGGCCGCCACCGCCUCCCCCGCCGGCGCCAUGGCCGCUGCGGUCGGGGACGGCGCGGUGAAACCGCUUCAGUGCGCCAUGAAGCUGGCCAACGGGGCCAUCGAGCUGGACACCGGCAACCGGCCCCGGGAGGCAUAUACAGAAUACCUGAGGAGCGUCCACUACAUCUCCCAGGUGCUGCUAGAAGAAGUGGAGACCUCCAAAGAAGCUGGGGAAACUGUGACCCCUGACACCUCGAAGAUGCUGAAGCUGGCUGAGCAGUGCCUGGAGAGGGCCCAGUCGACAGCUGCCAAACUUGGGAAAACAUGCCUGAGGCCAGCCAUGCCUGUGGCUGCUCCCGUCCCCUCUCCCACCAGCCGACACCGCCGGGUAUACUCAGAUGAGGGAGGGAAGCUCUCUCCAUUUCUGCCGCCUGAGAUCUUCCAGAAGCUUCAGGUUGUAGAGUCACAAAGCUCUAAGAAGCAGGGUCAGGAAGGGACCUCAGGUGACCAGAGCGUUCCUGGGCUUCCUGGAGCCUGGACAGCAGCUUGUCACCAUUCCAGGGAGUUGACACCCCUGGAGGAGGCGUCCCUGCAGAAUCAGAAGCUGAAGGCUGCCUAUGAGGCCCGGAUGGCCCGUCUGGACCCCAGCCAGGCCAUGCAGAAGACAUCCCUGACCCUGUCCCUGCAGCGGCAGAUGAUGGAGAACCUGGUGAUCGCUAAAGCCCGGGAGAAGACACUGCAAAGGAAGAUGGAGGAGCGCCGGCUGCGGCUCCAGGAGGCCGCCAACAGGAGGUUCUGCAGCCAGGUUGCCCUGACCCCCGAGGACCGGGAGCAGCGGGCCCUCUACGCCGCCAUCCUCGAGUACGAGCAAGACCACGACUGGCCAAAGCGCUGGAAGGCCAAGCUCAAGAGGAGCCCAGGGGACCUGUCCCUGGUGACCAGCCUGGUUUCCCACCUGCUCAGCGUCCCCGACCACCCCAUCUCGCAGCUCCUGAAGAAGCUCCAGUGCGCGGUGUACCGGGCGCUGUACCCCAUCGUGAGCAGGGGCGCCGCCUCGGCCCUGGGCUGCCGUUCCCUGCCUCCCGACGCCGACGGGCUGCUGGCUCCUGGAAGCCGGCGGCUCCGGCCCUCUCAGAGCCUGUACUGCAUGCCCUCCCCCCCGGAGCCCAGCCCAGCCCCAAGUACCACAGACGGCACCUCCGCCAGCGCCUCCAUCCCCCCACCCCACCCCGGCAACCCGGACAGAGGGGCAGACGGCAGCCCCGCGGGGCCUCCCUCACCCCUGGCGGACACUUCAUCCGACCUGCCAGGCAAGGACAGCUCCUUCGGGGACCUGGAACAGUUCUUGGCUACUCCUGAGAGGAGGGGCCGGGGCCCUGGGGGGCGGCCUGAGCCCCAGCCCCCAGGGGUAACGAAGGAGCCGUUGCUGGAGCAGCUGAAGGGCACCGUGCAGGACAUACACGACGCCAUCGACAGGCUGCUCUCGCUGACCCUCCUGGCUUUUGAAGGCCUGAACACGGCCGCCUCCAAAGACCGCUGCCUGGCCUGCAUCGAGGAGCCCUUCUUCUCCCCGCUGUGGCCCCUGCUGCUGGCCGUGUACAGGAGCGUUCACCGCCUGCGGGAGGCCGCCCUGAGCAGGAGCAUGGAGCUGUACGGGAACGCGCCCCCGGCGGCCGUCGGCGUCCCCACCAAGCUCCUCCCCCGGGACCCCGAGGCCACGGCAGCCGGCGCCUACCCCUACUGUGCCGCCGCCCAGGAGCUAGGGCUGCUGGUCCUGGAGAGCUGCCCCCAGAAGAAGCUGGACUGCAUUGUGCGGGCCCUGCGGGUCAUCUGUGCCUGCGCGGAGGACUACCACCGGGCUCGCGAGGCUGCACCCCAGCCGGGCAUCGCCGCCAUGUGCCUCUUGCGGAGGGUCUGGGGUACCUGGAGUGGCACGUGAGUGACCCUGACCCCAGGAGUGAGCAGACUGCCUGGGACAUGGGCUGUCCUCUCCGUCAUCCCGUCCCCGGGCUCGGGCAAGCUCACGGGAGAGCUUCACUGUGGGGCCUCCCUGGUCCAGCCCUGGGCUCUGCGGCACAGGGUCCCCAUUCAGGAUGGCCGCGGCGCUCCCAGGUGGUCUCUUGUCACGCUGACCCGAGCCCACCCCCAGCCCCCUGAGGCCGGCGGGCAGGAGGGGCACAGGGACAGCAUCCAGCAAGCCCAAGGCUGCUCCAGGGACCAAGCUGGGAGGCUUCAGGGCUGUGGGGAUUGAGCAGCGCCCCCGGUCCCUGGAGCCUCCUGGCCGGCUCUGCGUCUCCCCAACAGUGGCGCCGACGACCUGCUGCCCAUCCUGUCCUUUGUGGCGCUGAGGAGUGGCCUCCCCCAGCUGGUGUCGGAGUGUGCAGCCCUGGAGGAGUUCAUCCACGAGAGGUACCUGAUCGGAGAGGAGGGCUACUGCCUGACGUCACUG